rnacentral:rRNA from 1 species
UCUUUUAGAGUUUGAGUUGUAAUUUUGAGAACUGUUUUCUGUGCUGGACCAUGUACAAGUCUGUUGAAAAACAGCAUCAUUGAGGGUGAUAAUCCCGUUCAUGAUAUGGACUACCAGUGCUAUAUGAUACAGUCUCUAAGAGUCGAGUUGUUUGGGAAUGCAGCUCAAAGUGGGUGGUAAAUUCCAUCUAAGGCUAAAUAUAGGUGAGAGACCGAUAGCAAACAAGUACCGUGAGGGAAAGAUGAAAAGAACUUUGGAAAGAGAGUUAACAGUACGUGAAAUUGCUGUAAGGGAAACAAUUGAAGUUAGCCUUGUUAUUGUCAGUUCAGCUCUUUUAGGGUGUAUUCUGAUGGUUAACUGAUCAACAUCAGUCUUUGGGUGUUGGAUAAGGGUAUAGGAAAUGUAGCAGCUUAGGCUGUGUUAUAGUCCUUUACUUUGAUACAGUGCUUAGGAUUGAGGAUUGCAGUAAGCCAUUAAUUUGGUGGAUCAAUUUAUUGGUCUUCUUACUGAGGAUGUUGAUGAAAUAGCUUCAACUGACCCGUCUUGAAACA